UACGGGGGGAGCAAGCGUUGUUCGGAUUUACUGGGCGUAAAGGGCGCGUAGGCGGCUUUCAAGUCGGGCGUGAAAUCUCCAGGCUUAACCUGGAAGGGUCGUUCGAUACUGUUAAGCUAGAGUGUGGAAGAGGCUACUGGAAUUCCGUGUGUAGCGGUGAAAUGCGUAGAUAUCGAGAGGAACACCUGCGGCGAAGGCGGGUUGCUGGGCUGAUACUGACGCUGAGGCGCGAAAGCCAGGGGAGCGAACGGG
rnacentral:rRNA from 1 species